rnacentral:rRNA from 1 species
UACGUAGGGGGCGAGCGUUGUCCGGAAUUAUUGGGCGUAAAGAGCUCGUAGGCGGUGUGUCGCGUCGGCCGUGAAAACCUGGGGCUUAACUCUGGGCUUGCGGUCGAUACGGGCAUCACUGGAGUUCGGCAGGGGAGACUGGAAUUCCUGGUGUAGCGGUGAAAUGCGCAGAUAUCAGGAGGAACACCGGUGGCGAAGGCGGGUCUCUGGGCCGAUACUGACGCUGAGGAGCGAAAGCGUGGGGAGCGAACAGG